rnacentral:lncRNA from 1 species
UUAUGCUUCAGCUUUUCCUGCAUGUUUUUCUUUCUUUUCUCUUACACCCUUCUCUGUGAUCUCAUCUGACAAUCACUACCAUGGCAACCAAGCCUCUGUGACGUUCCAGCAAGCUCAUUGUCUUCUCUUCACUAAACUUUAGUUAGUAGUUGGUCCCAGUCAGUAACACUCUGGGAGGGCUCAGGCCACAUCACGAAAUGUGACAGGAUAGCCUUGAACUCAUCAAUUGCUGGCAAGGUAAGCUGUCAUCAGUUGGAGGUAAGCAGAAGACAGUAGAGAGUACAGAGCCCUGGACUGUGACUCAGAGGAUGAGCACCAGAUCCAGUUUGCUGUGCCACAGUGCUCAGCAUGAUGUAAACUCCACUGCGGACAGAUGCAGCCAAGAAGACAGGUCACCUUCUACCAACUCCCACCAGAGGAAACUCUUCCCCAGGACCCAGUACGUUGGCCCUCUGACCCUGCACACAGCACAUGAUGCUGAGGUUCAGUGCUGAACAAGAGCUACUGAGAGCCAGAGAUUCACUUCUUCCAUGGAGCCCCACUCAUGGAUGGAGGCUCUGUCCCGGGUCCAGUGCCACUGGGAACACUGGGUCUCUGGUUUCUAGCUCUGUCCUAUGGCAGAGGUUCCACCCCACAAUAACCGAAGUGCUGAGAAGGUGGGAAGCUCCUGCCCGACCCUCCACUGAGAGCUCAGCUCCUAGGCUGAGGAAUAAAACAGCUCAACUUUGUCUACACCUGCAGAACCUUGUUUAGGAGCUCUGUCCCAGGAGAGAGGGGGCAAUGGAAUUCAGUCAUAAAAUAUGAUCCUUAAUUAGUCCUAAAAAUCCUAACUUCAGUAACAGCAGAUUGUGGACAAAUUGAAAGCCUGCCAGUGCUCUCAAAAACAGUGGAUGGUGUGGUGGAAAGCCCUUGGAAGGAGACGGGUGGAUGCAUGGGAGAUGCAGGCUACACUGCAGGGCUGCUGGCUUGCAGGAGAGAACCGAGGACAAGGGAGAGCUGGGGAAAGUUCUCUUGUGGUUGAAAUAAAUGCCAGACACUCUUCAAUGGAGCCCAUGUUUGUUUGGUUCAGUCUGUGAAGUAAUUCAAACCUCAGUGCAUGAUUGAAAAUAGUACAAUUUUCCAUCUGCAAGUGGCAGAGCUCAACAUCUGGGUCUGGUCAGGAGAGAGACAGAGAGAGCCCAGCCCAAACCACUGACACCUGGGGUUGACAGUGCUGCUUACAGAUGUGUUCCUUUGAUCUUUGAGACUGGUUUCUCUCACUUAGCAUAAUGCCUGGAGUUCAACUGUAAUGGUUUGUGAAUCGAUCAUUUGAUAUUUUUUAUUGCUGAUGGAUUCAAUUUAUAGAUGCUUCCUAGUUUUUUCACCUACUCAAAUUUUGAGACAUUUAUGUUAUUUUUCAUUUCUAACACACACACAUGUAAUAUCUUGAAUAUUUGAAUAGAGGUUUUGUGUGAAAAUAAGAUUGUAUUUCUCUGAAGCAAAAUUCAAGAGUGGGAUAUUUAGGUCAUGUGUUAAGGGCAUGUUUGAUUGCAGAAAAAACUAAAAAUUAUUUUCCCGAGUAGCUGUUUCAUUUUGCAUUCCCAUUAACAAUGUCGUAGACACUAGGAACUUGGUAUGCUCAUCAGCAUUGGUAUUACCUGUAUUUCUUCUUAAUUUCAGCCAUUCUAAAAAGUGUAUAGUGGUGUCUCAUUGUGGGCUUGAUUUGAAUUCCUUUAAUGGAAAAUCCUGUUAACAGCCUGUUUAUAUGCUUAUGUGUCAUCUGCACAUCUCAUUUGAUGAAAUGUCUGCACAAACCUUUGCCUAUUUU